GCCUCAAAACAAAACAAAAUAAUUAUGUACUCCUUCUCUUUGAUUAUUCGAAAGUUAGAAGCACCCUAAAUAGUUCUCUCUGAAAAGCCAUUCACCCAAACCCUAACCUCACUAAUAAAAUUUUUAUUGAUAGUGAUUUUUUCAAUUAAUUCAUAUAUGGGUUCAUUGGCAGAGAAACAAAGGUUAGUGUUUGCUCUAUUUCUUUCAUUGAUUUUUUUUCUCUUUUGAAUUUUUUCUUAUUUUUUUCUUAAUUUCAACUAUGAUUUUAUUGUUUCUAUAGCUGCAGUUUGAUUAAUUUUGAUAAAUUUUGCUUAAUUUGAUGGAAAGCAUGAUUUAUUACAUGUCUGCUUGAGAUAAGCCG
rnacentral:lncRNA from 1 species